UGAUAUUCGCGGGCAAACAGCUGGA
rnacentral:piRNA from 3 species